CAGCACCUCAAGUGGUCAGGAUGAUUAUUGGGCCUAAAGCAUCCGUAGCCGGCUCUGUAAGUUUUCGGUUAAAUCUGUACGCUCAACGUACAGGCUGCCGGGAAUACUGCAGAGCUAGGGAGUGGGAGAGGUAGACGGUACUCGAUAGGAAGGGGUAAAAUCCUUUGAUCUAUUGAUGACCACCUGUGGCGAAGGCGGUCUACCAGAACACGUCCGACGGUGAGGGAUGAAAGCUGGGGGAGCAAACCGGAUUAGAUACCCGAGUAGUCC
rnacentral:rRNA from 1 species